rnacentral:rRNA from 1 species
GUCCAAGACAGAAUUUUAGUUCAGCUUUAAACUUACCUAUAGAAAUACCCAGUCCCCUCGUAAGUUUAACUGUUAGUCUAAAGAGGAACAGCUCUUUAGACCAAAGAGAACAACCUUAACAUAGAGAGUAAGACACUUCACCACUACAGUUGGCCUAGAAGCAGCCAUCAAUUAAGAAAGCGUUUAAGCUCAACAUACAACAACUCUUAAUCCUAUACAUAUUACCGAACUCCUAUUACACAUUGGACUAAUCUAUUAACUAAUAGAAGCAAUAAUGUUAGUAUGAGUAACAUGAAAUUAUUCUCCCUGCAUAAGCUUAUCUCAGACCAAAACAAUUACCGUUAGUUAACAGCUAAACCACAGAACCCUACAACCUAACACACUAUUACCCUAACUGUUAACCCAACACAGGCAUGCACUAAGGAAAGAUUAAAAAAAGUAAAAGGAACUCGGCAAACUCUACCCCCGCCUGUUUACCAAAAACAUCACCUCUAGCAUUACUAAUAUUAGAGGCACUGCCUGCCCAGUGACCUAUGUUCAACGGCCGCGGUACCCUAACCGUGCAAAGGUAGCAUAAUCACUUGUUCUCUAAAUAAGGACUUGUAUGAAUGGCCACACGAGGGUUUAACUGUCUCUUACUUCUAAUCAGUGAAAUUGACCUAUCCGUGAAGAGGCGGAUAUAUACAAAUAAGACGAGAAGACCCUAUGGAGCUUCAAUUUAAUAGUACAAACCAAUAUACUAAAAACCUACAGGCACUAACUUAUCAUCAAUGUACUAUGAAUUUCGGUUGGGGUGACCUCGGAGCAUAACACAACCCCCGAAAAACACAUACCAAGACCUCACUAGUCUAAGUAAACCUGCCCCUAUUGAUCCAAUAACUUGAUCAAUGGACCAAGUUACCCUAGGGAUAACAGCGCAAUCCUAUUUUAGAGUCCGUAUCGACAAUAGGGUUUACGACCUCGAUGUUGGAUCAAGACAUCCCAAUGGUGCAGCCGCUAUUAAUGGUUCGUUUGUUCAACGAUUAAAG